rnacentral:rRNA from 1 species
UGGGGAAUCUUGCUCAAUGGGCGAAAGCCUGAAGCAGCAACGCCGCGUGCGGGAUGACGGCCCUCGGGUUGUAAACCGCUUUCAGCAGGGAAGAAACCAGACGGUACCUGCAGAAGAAGGUCCGGCUAACUACGUGCCAGCAGCCGCGGUAACACGUAGGGGCCAAGCGUUGUCCGGAUUCAUUGGGCGUAAAGAGCUCGUAGGCGGUUCAGUUAGUCGGGUGUGAAAUCUCCGGGCUCAACCCGGAGGGGCCACCCGAUACUGCUGUGACUCGAGUCCGGUAGGGGAGUGGGGAAUUCCUGGUGUAGCGGUGAAAUGCGCAGAUAUCAGGAGGAACACCGGUGGCGAAGGCGCCACUCUGGGCCGGUACUGACGCUGAGGAGCGAAAGCGUGGGUAGCAAACAGGAUUAGAUACCCUGGUAGUCCACGCCGUAAACGGUGGGCACUAGGUGUGGGUCCUUACCAACGGGAUCCGUGCCGUAGCUAACGCAUUAAGUGCCCGCCUGGGGAGUACGGCCGACG